UCUCCGUUGGUGAACCAGCGGAGGGAUCAUUACCGAGUUUACAACUCCCAAACCCCUGUGAACAUACCUCUUCGUUGCCUCGGCGGGACUCGCCCCGGCGCCCCUCGGGCCCGGAUCCAGGCGCCCGCCGGAGGACCUAAACUCUUGUCUCCCGAUGUGUAUCUUCUGAGUGACACAAGCAAAUAAAUCAAAACUUUCAACAACGGAUCUCUUGGUUCUG
rnacentral:misc_RNA from 1 species